UGCAAGCCGAGCGGUAGAGAUCUUUCGGGAUCUUGAGAGCGGCGUACGGGUGCGGAACACGUGUGCAACCUGCCUUUAUCUGGGGGAUAGCCUUUCGAAAGGAAGAUUAAUACCCCAUAAUAUACUGAAUGGCAUCAUUCUGUAUUGAAAACUCCGGUGGAUAGAGAUGGGCACGCGCAAGAUUAGAUAGUUGGUGAGGUAACGGCUCACCAAGUCUACGAUCUUUAGGGGGCCUGAGAGGGUGAUCCCCCACACUGGUACUGAGACACGGACCAGACUCCUACGGGAGGCAGCAGUGAGGAAUAUUGGACAAUGGGUGAGAGCCUGAUCCAGCCAUCCCGCGUGAAGGACGACGGCCCUAUGGGUUGUAAACUUCUUUUGUAUAGGGAUAAACCUACCCUCGUGAGGGUAGCUGAAGGUACUAUACGAAUAAGCACCGGCUAACUCCGUGCCAGCAGCCGCGGUAAUACGGAGGGUGCAAGCGUUAUCCGGAUUUAUUGGGUUUAAAGGGUCCGUAGGCGGAUCUGUAAGUCAGUGGUGAAAUCUCACAGCUUAACUGUGAAACUGCCAUUGAUACUGCAGGUCUUGAGUGUUGUUGAAGUAGCUGGAAUAAGUAGUGUAGCGGUGAAAUGCAUAGAUAUUACUUAGAACACCAAUUGCGAAGGCAGGUUACUAAGCAACAACUGACGCUGAUGGACGAAAGCGUGGGGAGCGAACAGGAUUAGAUACCCUGGUAGUCCACGCCGUAAACGAUGCUAACUCGUUUUUGGAAUGUAAGUUUCAGAGACUAAGCGAAAGUGAUAAGUUAGCCACCUGGGGAGUACGAACGCAAGUUUGAAACUCAAAGGAAUUGACGGGGGCCCGCACAAGCGGUGGAUUAUGUGGUUUAAUUCGAUGAUACGCGAGGAACCUUACCAAGGCUUAAAUGGGAAAUGACAGGUUUAGAAAUAGACUUUUCUUCGGACAUUUUUCAAGGUGCUGCAUGGUUGUCGUCAGCUCGUGCCGUGAGGUGUUAGGUUAAGUCCUGCAACGAGCGCAACCCCUGUCACUAGUUGCCAUCAUUAAGUUGGGGACUCUAGUGAGACUGCCUACGCAAGUAGAGAGGAAGGUGGGGAUGACGUCAAAUCAUCACGGCCCUUACGCCUUGGGCCACACACGUAAUACAAUGGCCGGUACAGAGGGCAGCUACACUGCGAAGUGAUGCAAAUCUCGAAAGCCGGUCUCAGUUCGGAUUGGAGUCUGCAACUCGACUCUAUGAAGCUGGAAUCGCUAGUAAUCGCGCAUCAGCCAUGGCGCGGUGAAUACGUUCCCGGGCCUUGUACACACCGCCCGUCAAGCCAUGGAAGUCUGGGGUACCUGAAGUCGGUGACCGUAACAGGA
rnacentral:rRNA from 1 species